rnacentral:rRNA from 1 species
AGCGGCGGAUGGGUGAGUAACACGUGGGGAACCUGCCCCUAAGUCUGGGAUACCAUUUGGAAACAGGUGCUAAUACCGGAUAAUAAAGCAGAUCGCAUGAUCAGCUUUUGAAAGGCGGCGUAAGCUGUCGCUAAGGGAUGGCCCCGCGGUGCAUUAGCUAGUUGGUAAGGUAACGACUUACCAAGGCGACGAUGCAUAGCCGAGUUGAGAGACUGAUCGGCCACAUUGGGACUGAGACACGGCCCAAACUCCUACGGGGGGCAGCAGUAGGGAAUCUUCCACAAUGGACGCAAGUCUGAUGGAGCAACGCCGCGUGAGUAAAGAAGGUUUUCGGAUCGUAAAGCUCUGUUGUUGGUGAAGAAGGAUAGAGGUAGUAACUGGCCUUUAUUUGACGGUAAUCAACCAGAAAGUCACGGCUAACUACGUGCCAGCAGCCGCGGUAAUACGUAGGUGGCAAGCGUUGUCCGGAUUUAUUGGGCGUAAAGCGAGCGCAGGCGGAAAAAUAAGUCUAAUGUGAAAGCCCUCGGCUUAGCCGAGGAACUGCAUCGGAAACUGUUUUUCUUGAGUGCAGAAGAGGAGAGUGGAACUCCAUGUGUAGCGGUGGAAUGCGUAGAUAUAUGGAAGAACACCAGUGGCGAAGGCGGCUCUCUGGUCUGCAACUGACGCUGAGGCUCGAAAGCAUGGGUAGCGAACAGGAUUAGAUACCCUGGUAGUCCAUGCCGUAAACGAUGAGUGCUAAGUGU